rnacentral:rRNA from 1 species
AUUGAACGCUGGCGGCAGGCCUAACACAUGCAAGUCGAGCGAGCGGCGGACGGGUGAGUAAUGUAUGGGGAUCUGCCUGCUGGCGGGGGAUCACUACUGGAACCGGUAUCUAAUACCGCAUACCCACAGCUGAACCCAUAUGGGAUUAGCUAGUAGGUGAGGUAAAGGCUGACCGAGGCGUCGAUCCCUAGCUGGGCUGAGAGGAUGAUCAGCAAGAGUGGGACUGAGACACGGCCCAGACGCCUACGUGAGGCAGCAGUGGGGAAUAUUGCACAAUGGGCGAAAGCCUGAUGCAGCCAUGCCGCGUGUAUGAAGACGGCUUUCGGGUUGUAAAGUACUUUCAGUCGGGAGGCGUUACCGACAGAAGAAGCACCGGCUAACUCCGUGCCAGCAGCCGCGGUAAUAC